ensembl:ncRNA W08F4.11 ncRNA
GGCAGGAGACGGCGAUGGACACGGAAUCGCGGCCAACGAGGAGCUGCCGAGAUUAAAUAGACUCUCCACGCGCCAUUGCUUCUCGCUCUUCGACGGACCCUGAAACAAAGAAAUUAAUUAUUUACGUAAAUUUGUAUCAAACUAUGUACAUAUAAUAAUUAUUUUAAUUUUUUAUUUAAUCUUUAUAAUAAAAUAAUUUUUCA